CCCUUAGAUGUUCUGGGCCGCACGCGCGCUACACUGAUGCAUUCAACGAGUCUAAAACCUGGUCUGAUAGGGCUGGGUAAUCUUUUGAAUGUGCAUCGUGAUUGGGAUAGAUGAUUGCAAUUCUUCAUCUUCAACUAGGAAUGCCUAGUAAACGCAAGUCAUCAGCUUGCAUUGACUACGUCCCUGCCCUUUGUACACACCGCCCGUCGCUCCUACCGAUUGAAUGUUCCGAUGAAUACCAUGGACUGAGAGUAUGAAUGGGUUCGCCUAUUUCUGCUUCUCGGGAAGUGGAGUAAAUCUUAACAUUUAGAGGAAGGAGAAGUCGUAACA
rnacentral:rRNA from 1 species